rnacentral:lncRNA from 1 species
AAAUAAAUCUCACUGGACCCCCUACCCCUAAAUGCCUCCAUUGGUCAUUGAGAUGAAAAAGCCACAGAAUUCUUUCAGCUCUCUUCUAGGAUCUUCCUUUUGAAUGCAAAGGAACACUGGGAACUCUCCGCAGAGUAAAAUAUGGGUCUCCAUCUCAAUGCCCAGAGACAAAGGCCAAAAAAUGUGAAGAAUUUCCAAAGAGCCUCCUUCAAACGGCAUCUCCCCCCACCUCUGGCUGUGCUCCACAGGCGCUGUGGAUGGGAAUGGUGACUUUCUCCUCCGGGCCUGGCUUGGCCUGUUGCCCACUCACUAAAAGCCCGUAUCUGAAGAGAAAUGAAAUUAGGUAUGUCCCGGCUCCGCCCAUGCACUUGUCCUCACGUAAGAAGAUAGUUCUGUGAUCCGGCCGACCGAUGGGCCUUGUGCGUGGUUCUGCCAGUACAUGGCUGGGACGUUUGCAGCAGGCAGUGCACACUCUUGCACUCCUGUCCCCCGUGGGAGCAGCCCCUGGGAGGGCGAGUCAGGCACCUCACCUACGCCGGGGCAGUGGAAACUUGUUCACUUUCUGAGGACCCUUUAAGAGGAGCACUCACUUGGCUCAGGGCUCUUUUGUUCUCCUUUGGAGGCUGAACAAAAAAGAAUAAGCGGCUGUUCUGUCAUAAGGAUUGAAAAAGAGACGGGGAAAGAGCCCGAGUAUUCUCUCUGUAAGACAUCUUGAAGUGACAGAGUGACGCUUGAUGUGCCAGGGGUCUUUGGCCAUCUGGGUAAAUGUCUGCCGGCCCUCACUCUGCCAGCUUAUUUAACCCUGACCUCUUCUCCCUUCUCUGCACGUCACUAGGAUCCCUCAGAUGGGUAACCAACUGUCCAAGUCUACUUGAGACCAAAGGAUUUCCCAGGACACAAGAUAGGCAUAUAUGUGUGCGCGCGCACACACACGUAUGUCCAGCAUUCUUCUCGCUCCAGUAGACUACAGCCUCCUUCAAGGAAGGAUCUCUUUGUUCUUCUGUAUCAGCUGCCGCAUUGAAGGUACAAUAAAUGUUUGCUGAUGCCGGGCGCAGUGGCUCAAGCUUGUAAUCUCAGCACUUUGGGAGGCUGAGGAAGGCGGAUCACAAGGUCAGGAGAUUGAGACCAUCUUGGAUAACAAGGUGAAACCCCGUGUCUACUAAAAAUACAAAAAAUUAGCUGGGCGUGUUGGUGGAUGCCUAUAAUCUCAUCUACCCAGGAGGGUAAGGCAGGAGAAUCACUUGAACCUGGGAGGCAGAGAUUGCAGUGAGCCCAGAUCGCACCACUGCACUCCAGCCUGGGCGACAAGAGUGAGACUGUCACAAAAAAAAAAAGAAAGAAAGAAAGAAAGAAAGGUGGCUCACGCCUGUAAUCCUAGCACUUUGGGAGACUGAGGUGGGUGGAUCACCUGAGGUCAGGAGUUCAAGACCAGCCUGGCCAUCAUGGUGAAACCCCAUCUUAAAACAAAAAACAAAACAAAACAAAAAGGCCGGGCGCGGUGGCUCACACCUGUAAUCCCAGCACUUUGGGAGGCUGAGGCGGGUGGAUCACGAGGUCAAGAGAUCGAGAUCAUCCUGGUCAACAUGGUGAAACUCCGUCUCUACUAAAAAUACAAAAAUUAACUGGGCAUGGUGGCUCGCACCUGUAGUCCCAGCUACUCGAGAGGCUGAGGCAGGAGAACUGCUUGAACCCAAGAGGUGGAGGUUGCAGUGAGCCAAGAUUGCGCCAUUGAACUCCAGCCUGGGUAACAAGAGUGAAACUUAGUUUCAAAAAAAAAAAAAAAAAAAAAAGAAAGAAAGAAGGAAAGAAAGAAAAGAAAAAAAGUGUGUGUUAUUUUUUUUGACCUAUGAACUGAACUAGACCUUUUCUUCGUUGGAUCUCAUUUCUUUUUUUUUAAUUUGAAAGAAUAACUGACAAACUCUGGUUGUUCAAACUUGGAUGUUUUGCAGAUACUUUGUUGAAAAUGAACAAACUGAGCCUGUCACUUCAAUAAAAAACAACUGAUAGUAUUUGUGGCCAAUUAUGAAGUUUCAGUUUUAAAGCAGAAUUAGAACUUUGCAAAACUUGCAUGUGCUGCUGUUAGUGUGAUGGCUGCCCGAUACGGAAAGGCUUUUCAGGUAAGACUGGUGUUGACGGUAAUGAACGUAGCUUUUUGAUAUCAGAUAAAAUGGGCCCACACUUGGAAGCUUUUUUUUUUUUGAGAUGGAGUCUCAGUCUGUAGCCCAGGCCGGCGUGCGGUGGUACGAUCUCAGCUCACUGCAACCUCCGUCUCCCGGGUCCCAGUUCAAGCAAUUCUACCUCAGCCUCCCAAGUAGCUGGGAUUAUGGGCACGAGCCACCACACCCAGCUAAUUUUUGUAUUUUUUAGAAGAGACAGCGUUUCACCAUGUUGAUCAGUCUGGUCUUGAACUCCUGAUCUUGUGAUCCACCCGCCUGGGCCUCCCAAAGUGCUAGGAUUACAGGCGUGAGCCACUGUGCCCGGCCGGAAGCUUUUUUUUUUUUUUUGAGAUGGAGUUUCGCUCUUGUUACCCAGGCUGGAGUGCAAUGGCGCGAUCUCGGCUCACCGCAACCUCCGCCUCCUGGGUUCAGGCAAUUCUCCUGCCUCAACCUCCCAAGUAGCUGGGAUUACAGGCACGCGCCACCUUGCCCAGCUAAUUUUUUUUGUAUUUUUAGUAGAGACGGGGUUUCACCAUGUUGACCAGGAUGGUCUCGAUCUCUUAACCUCGUGAUCCACCCGUCUCGGCCUCCCAAAGUGCUGGGAUUACAGGCUUGAGCGGAAGCUUUUUAUAAUUCAUUGAACUAAUAUUUUUCAAAUGACCAAUGCAUGAGAUUAAAAAAGUCAUGCAUAGACAAUAGAUUCAUGUAAAAUACAAGAAAGACUAAUGCAUUUUAUUGUAUGAGCGUGUAAAAUGUUCACUGAUGUGGAUUCAGAUCUCACAUUGCAAGCUACCUUUAAGAAAUGAUCACUUGUUGGCCAGGCGUGGUGGCUCACGCCUGUAAUCCAAGCACUUUGGAGGCCGAGGUGGAUGGAUCACCUGAGGUCAGGAGUUCAAGACCAGCCUGACCAACAUGGUGAAACCCUGUCUUUUUUUUUUUUUAAAGAUGGGGUUUCACCAUGAUGGCCAGGCUGGUCUUGAACUCCUGACCCCAGGUGAUCCACCCACCUCGGCCUCCCAAAGUGCUAGGAUUACAGGCGUGAGCCACCGUACCCGGCAAUAAAAUGUUUUUAAAGUAAUAAAAUAUGUAAACCAACAAUGGACUUAUUACUUUAAAUGAAUAUAUAUCUAAUUUUUUUUCUUUUUUUGAGAUAGAGUCUCACUCUGUCACCCAGGUUGAAGUGCAUUAGCAUAAUCAUAACUCGCUACAACUUCUGACUCCUGGGAUGAAGUGAUCCUCCUACCUGAGCUACCUGAGUAGCUGGGACCACAGGUGUGUUUCACAAUACCUGGCUUUUAAAAAUUUUUUUGUAGACAUGGGGUCUUUCUAUGUUGCCCAAGCUGGUCUCU